rnacentral:tRNA from 1 species
AAGGAUUUAAGUUAAAUUAAACUAUUAACCUUCAAAGUUAAAAAUAUAAAUAAUUUAUAAGCCUUA